GAUUUGUCAUGGGCUAAUAUCACA
rnacentral:siRNA from 1 species